AUAUUGCACAAUGGGCGCAAGCCUGAUGCAGCCAUGCCGCGUGUAUGAAGAAGGCCUUCGGGUUGUAAAGUACUUUCAGCAGUGAGGAAGGGGGUAUCGUUAAUAGCGGUACUCUUUGACGUUAGCUGCAGAAGAAGCACCGGCUAACUCCGUGCCAGCAGCCGCGGUAAUACGGAGGGUGCGAGCGUUAAUCGGAAUUACUGGGCGUAAAGCGCAUGCAGGUGG
rnacentral:rRNA from 1 species